GCACCGUAAACGAUGAAUGCUCGUCAUUGGCGACAUGACUGUCAGUGACCAAGGGAAACCAUUAAGCAUUCCACCUGGGGAGUACGCCGGCAACGGUGAAACUCAAAGGAAUUGACGGGGGCCCGCACAAGCGGAGGAACAUGUGGUUUAAUUCGAUGAUACGCGAGGAACCUUACCCGGGCUUGAAUUGCAGAUGCCGGAUCCAGAGAUGGGUCUUCUCUUCGGAGCGUCUGUGAAGGUGCUGCAUGGUUGUCGUCAGCUCGUGCCGUGAGGUGUCGGCUUAAGUGCCAUAACGAGCGCAACCCUUGUCUUCAGUUGCCAUCAGGUGAUGCUGGGCACUCUGGAGAGACUGCCAUCGCAAGAUGUGAGGAAGGUGGGGAUGACGUCAAAUCAGCACGGCCCUUACGUCCGGGGCUACACACGUGUUACAAUGGGGGGUACAGAGCGUUGCUACCUGGCGACAGGAUGCGGAUCGUGAAAUCCCCUCUCAGUUCGGACUGGAGUCUGCAACCCGACUCCACGAAGCUGGAUUCGCUAGUAAUCGCGCAUCAGCCAUGGCGCGGUGAAUACGUUCCCGGGCCUUGUACACACCGCCCGUCAAGCCAUGAAAGCCGGGGGCGCCUGAAGUCCGUUACCGCGAGGAUCGGCCUAGGGCGAAACUGGUGAUUGGGGCU
rnacentral:rRNA from 1 species